GCAGCGCAAUGGAUAGCGUGUUGGACUUCUAAUCCAAAGUUUGUGAGUUCGAAUCUCACCUGCAAUG